UUUUAACACACACAGGAUCUGAAGAACAAAAUGCUUCAUUAUGCAGCUUUGACAGACUUCAGAACGAUCCUCCUGGACACAGCAUCACUUCAAGAGGGUUUUAAGCCAUACAAUACAGGGAUGGAAUGAAGAUAAACAAAAGGCAACAACAGAAUUGCUGAGUUCCACCCAUGAAGCAAAUCAUAGGAGAGCUAAUGUGAUUUCCGAAAAGAUGCUUGUUAAUCAUUCCGGGACUGCUGUCUCUUUCACAAGAAAAACAUUGAAAAAUUUAAUAUAGAUUUAUAGAGGCAUUCCAGAUGUCUGUUUGAGUGAAAAAUUUAUACUGAUUACAUUUUUUAAAAAAGUGAAUUUGUAUGUCUAAAUAUUUCUUUCAUCCUGUGUGUAUUUCAAUCCACAUAAUCUGUUCAGAUCAUUUGUCUUAAUGUAUGCAGAGAGAAAAAGCCUUAAAAUAUCUCUCACUGAAAGGUUUUAAGACUGAAUGGAAGAUUAGUCUUUGCCACAUUAUUCUGAAGAGCUAGGCAACAUUUGCUUAGCUUGCUGGCAACAAAGAUAAAGCCUGGCAAAACCUUAUAUCUAAGCCCUUUAUGAGCUUAUGCCUUACAUGGUGUGAAUAUAUAUAUACACACCAGGGCUCACUUCCUACAUAUCACACUGGAGGGUGAGCCAGAACAAUCAUAAUGCUGGUACCUCAAAAUGAUGUUUUUUU